UAUGGAGAGUUUGAUCCUGGCUCAGGAUGAACGCUGGCGGCGUGCCUAAUAAAUGCAAGUAGAGAGAACUGCAGAGGAGCUGGCUCCUUUUACGUUAGCGGCGGACGGGUGAGUAACACGUGGGUAACAUACCUAUAAGACUGGAAUAACUCCGGGAAACCGUGGCUAAUGUCGGAUAAUAUGUUGAACCCCAUGGUUCGCUCGUGAAAAUCGUGAUUGCGUUCACUUAUAGAAUAACUCUCGCCGCAUUAACUCAUGGGUGAGUUAUCGGCUCAUCAAGGCGACGAUGCGUAGCCGACCUGAGAUGCUGAUUGGCCACACUGGAACUCAGUCAAGGCCAAGACUCCUACGGGAGGCCGCAGUAUGGAAUCUUCCGCAUUGGACGAAAGUCUGACGUAUCAACGCCGCGUAAGUGAUGACGGUCUUCGGAUCGUAAAGCCAUGUUGUGAGCGAAGAAUAAAUGUGUAAGUAACAUUGAGCAUCUUAGUGUCACGUAACCAGACAGACACCGGUAACUACGUGCCAG
rnacentral:rRNA from 1 species